CCCAGACAGCCAGGAUGUUGGCUUAGAAGCAGCCAUCAUUUAAAGAAAGCGUAAUAGCUCACUGGUCGAGUCGGCCUGCGCGGAAGAUGUAACGGGGCUAAACCAUGCACCGAAGCUGCGGCAGCGACGCUGUGCGUUGUUGGGUAGGGGAGCGUUCUGUAAGCCUGUGAAGGUGGCCUGUGAGGGUUGCUGGAGGUAUCAGAAGUGCGAAUGCUGACAUAAGUAACGAUAAAGCGGGUGAAAAGCCCGCUCGCCGGAAGACCAAGGGUUCCUGUCCAACGUUAAUCGGGGCAGG
rnacentral:rRNA from 1 species